UCAGGAAGUGACAUCAUAGAUUGGAGGCAACGUAACCACAACGAUGACACACCAGUUUUUUGCACAGCAGUUCCUGAUUUUGGAAAGAUGUAUCAUGUCAAAGGUGUGCUGUCUUUGCCUCAUUCUGAGAUAGAGGAGCCGUUUGAAGCUUGGUACGAUCUUGAUGGGAACAGAAGUCACAUUGACUAUCCUAAUAGCACAGUGCGCACCUUUCAGAUUGGAAAUGACUUGGAUUUUGGUGCCAUUUACAAGAUCACACCAGUCCUUCCUCCCAGUGAUAUUAAGUGUUUCG